rnacentral:misc_RNA from 1 species
AACGCAUAUUGCGCCUUCUGGUAUUCCGGAAGGCAUGCUUGUUUGAGUAUCAGUAACAACCUCAACUCCUUUUCAAUCGUGUUAUGCGUGAGGGAAGGGGUUGGAUUUGAGCAUAUCCACCGGGCCACAUUGGCUUGAGGGAUGCUUGAAAUGGAGGUUCGGCCGACAGUGCCUGGGCUACAAGCAUUUCAUACUUAAUCCCGUUAAACGGAUUAUUUCCUUUGCUGCAGCCAACAUACAGGGUAACUGUCAGUAACCGACUGAUGCAGGAAAGUUGAGAUGGGUUCUUCGGAUCCUAGCCUCUUCUAAACUCGAUCUCAAAUCAAGUAAGACUACCCGCUGAACUUAA